rnacentral:lncRNA from 1 species
CCAGCUGCGGCUUCUCAGCCUCCCGCCGCCCCGGGUCCGCCCCACCUGGCCGCCGGAUGCCUCGGGGACGCAGGGCGUCUCCGGCUCCCGGCUCCCGGGCGGGGCCUGCGGCCUGUAAACAUUCCUGCCCCACUUGGCGGUGGGUGGACGGGCUGGAGCCCCGGGGGAGGAGGGGGUGCUCUGGCCGGGCUGCGCAGGCGCCUGGGGAUUUGCUGCUUCUCAGCUCCCUAGCUUCAGGUCUGACUCCUCUGCGCCCCUGGUUCUCCCUCCCUGUCUGCCUGAGGUCGUCUCAUUCGAGGACCCUUACCCCGCGCAUGAGGCCAGUGCACCCUGGGGUCCCCCUCCCUGUGUACGAGAGGCCAGUGCACCCUGGGGUCCCCCUCCCUGUAUACAAGAGGCCAGUGCACCCUGGGGUCCCUCUCCCUGUGUGCAUGAGGCCAGCGCACCCUGGGGUCCCCCUCCCUGUGUAUGAGAGGCCAGUGCACCCUGGGGUCCCUCUACCUGUGUGCAUGAGGCCAGCACACCCAGGGGUUCCCCUCCCUGUGUACGAGAGGCCAGUGCACCCUGGGGUCCCCCUCCCUGUGUGCCUGAGGCCAGUGUACCCCUGGGGCCCCUUACCUGUCUGUAUGAAAUCAGUGCACCCAGGGGUCCAUUCCUCUCACCUGAGAGAUGGGAACCCUAGUUUUGGGACUGGUUUUGUCAUCCUUCAAGGUGUGGGCCUCUGUCUUCAGAUCUGUAAACCGGGGAAAAUGAAGGAGCCGGUGCCAAGCAGGCUGUGCCUCCGUGUCUGGCGGGAUUCCAGGCGUUCUGUGUGGAGCAUUUCUCAGCAGUAGCAGGAAGACUGACUGCAUUGGGGCUGGAAGAAACCCAGCAACCAGCCUCUGUCUGCAUUGUCCCAGCUGUGAAACGGGUACAUGGUAGGGCUUCAAAAUGCACACAGGAGACCAGCUGCUCCAAGGCAUGGGGCGUGUGGGGCGGGUCUGGAGCUCCUCUCUCCCAAUCCCAGCUACCUGCCUUUGUGGGGAGGAUCCGCCUGGGGCCUUCCACUUUUAGGCAGCACUCCCAUAUGCGUCCCCUAUGUUCAUGCUACACGGGGACAGGAGGGAGUGCCCACGAGCCAAGGCCACCGGCCUGUCCAGUGCUCUGCAAAUGCAGUCUCAUGUGAUGGGAGACCAUGUCCUUGUAAGCCCUGGGCCAUGAAUCUUAGCUGAUUGAGAUAAUGAAGGCCCAGCGAAGUCAAGAACUUGCCAGCGUCACCAACUGUCCGUGGCCCAGCUGGGUGGGAACGCAGGUGGGCCGUCCUGCCUCAGUGGCGCAAGGGUGUGGCCGGGGUAGAGAGGCCUCCGAGCCUGCCUCUCUGUGCUUCAGCUCCCACGGAGAAGCUGCUCCAUCCUCUGGACACACGGGGAGCCCAGCCAGGGCAGGCCAUGUGGGCCGAGGGUGCAGCCCCGGCGCGUGUUAUCACAGCCAGGGCACCUGAGGGACAAGCUUGCAGCAGC